rnacentral:tRNA from 1 species
GUCAGUAUGGCCGAGUGGUUAAGGCGAUAGACUUGAAAUCUAUUGGGUUCUACCCGCGCAGGUUCAAAUCCUGUUGCUGACG